UACGAAGGGGGCUAGCGUUGCUCGGAAUCACUGGGCGUAAAGCGCACGUAGGCCGAUUGUUAAGUCAGGGGUGAAAUCCUGGAGCUCAACUCCAGAACUGCCCUUGAUACUGACGGUCUCGAGUCCGGGAGAGGUGAGUGGAACUGCGAGUGUAGAGGUGAAAUUCGUAGAUAUUCGCAAGAACACCAGUGGCGAAGGCGGACUCACUGGCCGGGUACUGACGCUGAGGUGCGGAAA
rnacentral:rRNA from 1 species